rnacentral:rRNA from 1 species
UCAUUGAAGAAUCAUUUGUGUUAUUGUAUUUUUGUGAUUUAAUUUUUUGUGCUAUAGUUUAUUUGUACCGUGGGGGGUCGACAUUUAGUGUGAGUUAGUAGAAGCUUAUUUUGUUUAUUGUACCUUGUGUAUCAGGGUUUAUUGAAUUUUAUUAUUUAUUUUUAUUUCCCGAUUUUAAAGGAGUUAGUGAUUUAUGUUAGUUACUGUUUUAUUAGUAUUAAUGAUAGGUCGUUGGUAGUGAAAUGUUAAUCGUCUUUAGUGGUUUCUGGUUUUUCAAGAAAUGAAUUUAAUUCAUGCUCCUUAUUUAAUUUUUACUUUUGUGUAUAGGGUUUUAUUUGGUGUUAAGAUUAAGGGGGAUUAGCUUCUUAUUUGAUUUUUAUAAUUUUUUGUUUAAUUUAUUUUUGUGGAUUUUAUAGUGAUUUUCAAUUUGAUUAUGUUGAAAUUUUAUUUGUUUAUUUGUAUAUUUGUUUUUAUUUAAUUUGUUUAUUGGAAUGUUUUCUUUGCCUUUAUUGUGGAUGGUAAUUAUUAUAUAAUUAGUAAAUUUUCUUUUAUAUUGUUUAUUUCGUGUUAGAUUCUUUUGAGGAAUUCGGCAAAUUUUAUGUCCGCCUGUUUAACAAAAACAUCUUUUCUCGUUAGUUUUUGAGAUAUGGCCUGCCCGCUGACUUAUAUUGUGUUGAAGGGCCGCGGUAUUUUGACCGUGCAAAGGUAGCAUAAUCAUUAGUUCUUUAAUUGUGAUCUGGUAUGAAUGGUUUGACGAGACGUAUGCUGUCUUAAGUUAUUUGAAUAAUUUGGUUGAAUUUGGGGUUUGAGUUAAAAUUCUUAGAUGUUUUUAUGGGACGAGAAGACCCUAUAGAGUUUUACAUUUUACCUAUCUUGCUGUUAUUGUUUGUUUUAUUUGAUAUAAGUAGGUAAGGUGUUUUGUUGGGGUGAUGAGAGGAAUAUAUGUAACUUCUCUUUGAUUGAUUUAUAUUUAUUUAUAUUUGUUUGAUCCAUUUAUUGUGAUUGUAAGAUUUAAUUACCUUAGGGAUAACAGCGUUAUCUUCCUUGAGAGUUCUUAUUGGCAGGAAGGGUUGCGACCUCGAUGUUGGAUUAAGGUUAAUGUCUGGUGCAGGAGCUAGAAUUAUUAGGUCUGUUCGACCUUUAAAAUCUUACAUGAUCUGAGUUCAGACCGGCGUGAGCCAGGUUGGUUUCUAUCUAUAGUAAGUUGUUGUAUCUUAGUACGAGAGGACCGGAUAUUUGGAAUAAUUUUGUUGUUGUGAUUAUUAAUAAUUUAUUUGCUAUUUUGGCAGAUAAGUGCAU